GCCGCGAUUACCGAUUUUCCAUUAC
rnacentral:piRNA from 1 species